CAAAAAAAAAAAAAAAGGAAAAAAAAAAGAGUGGAGUAAUCUUUCACAGUAGAAGGGUUCCCAGAGGGAAGAGGGCAGCUCAGGAAAAAUAUACACAUUCAGUGAGUAAGGUCAGAGGGGAAUUUUUAAUAUUUUAUUUCAGAUCCUGCAUUCUGGUUUGAUACAGAUCUAAAAAUUACUGUCUUAAAAUACUCUGGUAUGAAUUUCCUGGUAUCAGCCAAAUCCGAUUUUGUUCAAACUUAAUGAAGUGAUAUGGGAAUGAGGAGAAAGAUGGGGGUAUAUGGAUAUGAUGGUUAUUUUUCUCAUUUAAUUUGAAAUGAAAUUUGCUCAGAAAUAAGGGGCUGUGGAAAACUUCCUUGGGAAAUGGCUGUAGAGCAUCCCUUACUGAAAUGUAAACGUAAAUGUAAAUUGUGAGUGUCAUUGCAAACCAGCAGGCUGUGCUUUUGCUGUGCCACAGCAUCAGGAAAGGCACUGCAAGGAAGUAGGGGAGAAAGGAGGAUGAUUCCCUAAUCCCAGGGUGUACCAUGGAUCCUGCUACACCCUGCACUGUACCACUGGCUCUAGGCUGUGAUCUCAUCUGAUCUCCAGCUCAGCUGGGUCAGAACAGGGAGAGAUGGCAGAGAGAUGUUCCUGAACAAAAAUCCAAACCUGAGAUGUUCCCAGAAGUGAGAGGUGACUGAAGGCAGUUGGCUUGGGUUGGGUGGGAUCCCCCUGGCCAGGGGAGAGAACUUUCUGCCACCUCUGGCCCCACAUCUGCACCCAAAUCAGCAAUGCCUACUGGCAGUCUGUGGUGUGGGGGAUGCCAACCACGUAGAACAUUUUCUCUUCCUUCCUAUAUGCCUGUCUCUUCAUGAAAGGAUCAUUUCUCCCAGGUGGUCUUCUGCAUAUUUACCUUCAAUCUCCUUGGCUUGUGCUUCAUUCCUUUCACUGUAUCACCUCAUCUCUGUCAGCAGGAUGAGUCUUGAAGGACAUUUUCUAUAAAGGACAGGUUCUCACUGUGACUUGUCAUCACCAACCCCAAGGAAGCCAAGAAAUGAUACAACCUCAGCCACCUGAAUAGGGCCACAACUUGCAGCUGUGCUGUUCCCACUGCACACAACACCUCCCUUUAUACAGGAUUUAUGGAUAUUGGUUAGUCUGACUGCUCUAUCAGAAAUUGCCAUAAAUAAAGUGCUGAGCAUGCUCAGAUUUACCAUGUACAUUUUUUGCAGUGGGUUAUCUGGUGCCACUUGUCCUGCAUUUCACAAUGCAAGAAACAUGCCAUGGUUAAUAACUUAAAUAAUCUGUGCUGAGAGACUUUUGUUGAAGGAGUGACUGAUCCAAAGCCUGUUGAAAUAAAUGUGAAGAAUAGCCUUGUCUCCAGUGGGCUUUGGACCAAGCCCAGGUUCAUGUUCCUAAUAUACUGUCUCUUUCCAUAAUUUUGUGAGAAUGGCUUUUUCUUUUGUGCAACAAGCCAUAGUGGAGGGGAGUGGGGAAGAAAGGAAGGCAAAAAGAACCACAGAAACUCUACUAAAGGAAUAUAAAAUGAAAACUGCAUUAAAAAUUUAGUAUGUGAGCAGAAACAGACUACUUUGCUCUGGAAGGGUGAAAGGAAGGAAAAAUUAUUAUUUUAAUAUGUACUAGGCAAGGACAAGCACAAAUGUGACCACGUCUGAGAACAGCAGAGAGCCGCAGCCUUGGCUUACAUUGAAAAGUUCUGGCAAAUAUCUCAGUUUAAAAGAAGGUGUGAGAAGGGAAGAGCCAGAUCUGGCACACCAGCCCCUUCAUGUUUGUGUGAAGCUGUACCACACUUAGCUUUCGAGACUUUUUGCCUGAUUUGAAUGCAUAUGUUUGAUAAAAGGAAAUGACAUAUUUAUGUUUACUCCUUACGUUACUCAGUCUCCAAAGGGAGCAGGGAGUUGGUACAGAGAGUUCUGUGAGCUUCUGGGUCAUUCUCACCAAAAUGACCUGAUAACUGAGGGUUACACUAAUUAAGAUAUGUAAAUCUAAGAGCACUUGGAGCUCAUGAGAUGUGUAGGUAUCUUUUAGAUUGCUAGUGGGGAAGGAAAAUGUUCUCAUGUGAGCACAGUGAGUUUGGGUUGGUUCCACUGCAGGGAUUUGUGGCCAUGCAGAGAUGCCCAGUGAGAUCUGCUGUGUUUCACCUAGUCAUGUUAGUCCAUCUGCAAGCAUCAUCAUGCAGAGUGAGACAGCAAAGAGCAGUGCUUAUGUAUGUUUUUUCUUUUUCUAAUGGGCUCCACUUGAAUUGUAUGAUUUUUAAAUUUUUUUCAUGGAGAAAAGCCAUCUUCUUGGGGAUAAAAGAAAAAUCAGUAGAAAAUAUGGUUGUGCCUUUCAAGAUUCUCAAUAUAGGAUUAGUUUCUUAAUGAAACUGUUUGUGCCUGUCAACAGAAUCUAUAUGGAGACUUCUGGAAAGAGCAUGACUGUGGAACCUCUUACAGAGAAAGGUUCUUCUUUGGGUGAUUAUUGCUCCUAAAAGCCGCUGUGCAGUCAAGAAGGAGAUCCGUGAAAGUGGGAAGAUGCAGACACACAAGUCUAGGCCAUCCACAUUAAACACCCAAGAGGGGGAAACAAACCCCCUCAUUUUCCUGCAGGAGUAGACAUGAGUAAGAGAUGUCAGUGCAGCUAUGACAUCUGUUUACAUGGGGAUUUUAUGCACCUGUUCACUAGGCAAUAACAAAUGCUUACCAUGGUGGUAGCUGUAUCACACGGUACAUAUGCUGCUUCUGACAUACAUAACACCUCUUUAAGGAAACACAUGGCCCCAUAUGUCAUGAGAACUUGUUUACAUUCUACAAUACAGUAAUGGAAAAUAUGUUUCAUAAUAAAUGUUUUCAUCAUUUUUGUGUUUAAGGAAAGAAUGGGAGUUUUACGCCCUAGCUGUCAAGCUGAGUGUCCUCCCUCAUUGUUCUCAUUGAGAGAUGUGUGUUUGUGGAGCAAACUUCCUACAAGCUUUCCAAGUUCAGCGAAGCUGGGAUCUCAACUGGUCAGUUUUAAUGGCUGAUGCUCAUGUGAAAGUAGUUCUUCUGUUUUCAAUCAUCAGUGUUUCCAGUUCAUACAGAGGAAUCUUUGUCCUUGCUUCACUUCUCACUGCUGAGGUGUCCUGUUUACAUCAGAGUGGUACAAGCUUUUGGAAUGGGAGAACAACAUCAUUUAAAAAAGAAAAUAACUUCAAAUCCCUACGGAAGAACAGUUCCCCAGCAUUUUUAGGCAGCAUAUAAUAUUCCAUCAGCCUGAAGCCAACUUUUUCUUUGAGUUAUUUUCAAGACAAGAAACAAUAUGAUAACAACCUACAGAAACUUGGAAGGGACCAGUCGACCUACAAAAGAGAUCUGCUGGACCCUGCGUGGAGAAGCAGACACAUGGAAGCCUUGCAAACAUAAAAGGCAGGAGUGGGUCUGGCCCCAGAUGAUGUAUUUUGACUAACUACUUCUGCAGAGCGAUUCCUUCUUUAGCAAAGACUGCUCUGUGUCCUACUCUUUCUUGACAAAUGACCUGGUUGGAAAGGCACAAGCCACAGCCAGCUCUCCCUGCUGACUCCUGCUUCCUGUGCAAGUCUGUUGAACUGGUGCCUCAGGCCUGAUACCUGCAGGACUGCAGGGAAAAGUUACUUUGACUUCAGCAGAGUGGAGAUCUUGCCAUCCAGAAUGGAGAUUUACUUCCUGCUGUGAGGAAGUCUGCUGAAUUUUAGACACAUGAGUCUUGCAUAGAGAAAGAAACUGUCCUUGGAGUUUGGUCUUCCAAAAUAAUGGUCCACUAAACAAAAGCAAGGGAAGAACAGCUCUGCCAUCUGCUAGGUAAACAGCUUCUGCCUGCUCUGACGUUAUUGUAGAAUAUUUGUCUGGAGCAUGUUCCUCAGCCUGUCUGAGGGCCAGGGGAGCCAUCUCCAUCUGCUGAACAUUCCUCAGAUGAACUACUGACCUCAACCGAUCCAACACCUGCAACACCUGCGAGCUGCUCAACCGUGGCCACCAGGCCGCUGAGUGACACCGAGCAAGAUGCUCCUGCAACAGCUUGGAGGAAACUGGGUGGCUUUUUUAUAGACUUUAAAAUGAAACAGGAAUCAAAACUCCUUCUGAUAGCGGUAAAGCUGGAAGCAAUUCCAAGCCUUUCUUGAGCAGAAAGGCUGCUCUUGACUGUUAUUCCCAGAAACAAACACUGUCAUCCGCUGAACACUUCAACCACACUAAAAGAGGCACCUGGACUCAGAAGAUUGAAGCUCUGCUCAGUUUUCUCAAGUUGGAUAUUCUGGUAUUUCUGGUGUAUCCUGCAUAUGUAGAAGCAGCAAAAUUUGUCUUGGGGAAGAGAGGCAUCAGCACAGAGAGGGGACAGAUGGUGAACGUUACCGAGACCAAACUACGGCUCGAUCUUCCCAGAGAGAGCGGGUCCUGCAAGAACAAGGAAAGAUAUCAGUUAAAUUGUUGCAAAUAUGCCCCAAACUGUUCUGAAAGAGCAUCUGAUUUCCUAAAUUAAUCUGAAAGGUAUGUUUUCAGAUUUCAGAACCCUCUCCUUAACCUCGGUUCCACAAAUAGCCUUAUGCUGAGAUGAAGUGUAGACAAACACACAAUAGAACUUUCUAACCAGAACUGCUGAGGGGUGUGUGCUAUAUCCUCUCAUAGCAACCAUAGGCCCCAGCUCAGCUUUGGAGGCUGAAUGGAUCCAGUGCCAUGGUUUCCAUGGUUGCACAGGGUCUCAUGUACCCAAUAGCAUUAAUAUUCCAGUCCUUAAUAGAAUAACUUGUGCAAAGGCAAUUUUUUCCUCUUUAUUUCCUGUCUUAAAUUACUGCUGUCCUAAUGACUGAAUAAAGUUAUAACAUGCAAGUUAUUCUACUAAAGCUUAAAAGGUUGUUGAGAUUGUCUUAGCAUGAGCUCAAGCCUGCAGUAUUUAUGUAAGAAAAAUUUCAGGUGCCUCCUGAGACAAUGCUGUUGGAUUUGGGUGGUAAAAUAAUGAUGUUUUUUCUCUUUACCAGUUUCUUAGUAUUUAUCUUUAAAAAAAUUUUGAUUGCCACUAAGAAGUUCAAAAUACUGACAAUGGCUGACCAGUUUUUGGAAGAAAAUAGUGUGAGUCUGAGAACUUAGAGGUGGGAACUCAGAUAUGAUAAUGUGACUUAAAUUUUAAGGGAUGGCCUUUUUUGUGUUUCAGAACAGAACUGGAGGUGAUUAUUGUCCUUGCCUUUUUUUGCCACCUAGGGUUCUCCAAAGCUCACCUCUUUUAGAAGUUUUCCACCACCUCAUUUUUUAUGUCCUUCUGAAAAAUCUCAGUAGUUAAUGAAGAGCUGUGGUAGCUCUUACAAGAAGGUCACUUCAGAACUACACCUCAGCCAAGUGUCAAAGAAAACUUCUCGACAAAUAUCCAUGUCCUUGGGUAGCUCCAGCUGACUGGGACUUCCCUACUCCUUAAAACCCCAAGAGCUUGGGGUGUGUGAAUGAUUCCUUUCAAGGUGACAAUAACUUGCAGGUGCUGUUCCAGUUCUGGGACAGGCCAUGGCUGAAUGAGGGGUUGGGUCAUGGGGAAAACUUGCUGUGGACAUCAUGGAGAUGUCUGUUUGAUGUACAGGAGAAAGAAAUGUUCUGGCAGUCCUUUUUUGAUGUUUCAAGGCUCAGUGGGAUAUCCAGCCCUACACAAGCAUGGGGUAUAAGUAUCUAAGUACCACAGUAUAAAAGAUGCAGAGGUCUGAAGAGAGCCCUCCAGAAACAGAACAGAAAGCUCCAAGAAAUUGUCCAAAUGAGUGCAACUUUGAUAUUUAUAAUGGUUAGUUGCUACUGAGGUAUAAUCAGUGCUGACUUCUGGCCUCCGCUCUACAACUGAAAGUCUGAGAGAGCACGUAGAGCUCUCUAAACCUUCCAGUGAUUUAUCUGCAGUGUUUAUUAUCUGGCUCACAGAUGUGUAUCAAGGUAUGGUUUAAAAAGAAGAGCUCCAUGUGCAAAAAGAUUACAUUUUUAGCUUGUGUAAACUGUUGUUCCCCCACCAAAGCCACGAAAGUUGCCAUGUGAUGUCCCCCAGCAGAGGAUCUGCUCUCCAACCAAUGUUUGGUUAUUGUUUUUGGCUGUGUCCAUGAAUAUUUCAGAGUGUGCUGGAGCUGGGCUCUGAAUGCCUUCAUUCACAGACCGCUGUAUAAAUGAUCAAAGGAGAGGCUUCUUCAUCUUGUGUGUAAUAAAUCCUCAGCUUUCAGGUCUGCUGAACUGGAGACUAUCAUGGAAAUACUUGUUCCUCAUGUGCAGAUCAGGAAGCUGGAGUCAAGUAUUUCUCCUGUUGGACAAAUGCCUCUGGAAUUCCACAAACUGCUUGGCAUAUCUGACAGAGCAGGCAGAAGAAUCCCAGCCUUUAUUUCCUGUACAGUCUGCCUGCAUGGAGCAUGGCUUUGGAGACACUGCUCCCUGCUUCAGGUCAAGUAGUGGCAGGGGAGAAGUGGCAUCUACCUGAAUAUCUGAAAAAAUGCAAGUAGAAGGAAAGAUUUGAAAACAAACAGUGUUGGGAUAAGCUUAUUUUUGGACUUCAAAGCAUUUGUUGUUGAAACAUUGCCUAGAUUUUUAACUAAUUUUAAGGGUUUUAAGGGUUUGCCUUAGCUUGAAACUCAUCUAGGUUUGUUUUGCAUCUUGAAGGUGUCUUUACAAAAUAGUGGUAAAACAAAAAAUUAUAUGGAAGAGUUUAAUGGAUCUUGAAAGGAAAUAAAGUUGUGGCUUUCUGGUACCUGGACACCUCAAAUCCUUCUGUGAUCUUGUCAUGAAUCUUGUCAGUGUCUUGUCAGUCCCUUGCCAUGAAUAAAUGAUAUAGGAAGAAAAUAGUGGUCUAUCACAACCCCUGUCCAUUUUUAGCUAAAAAAGUACCUGUGACUGCAUAUCUGAAUCAAACUAAUUUUAUCUAUAAAAAGUAGAGGAGGUGUGCCUUGCUAAUGGGUUCUUUUGACUUAAUCAUAAGUAGCUAUGGCCACAAUUACACACAGAUUCACUUUUGUGAAUUUGAAAACCCUGUGGAUCAUUUUUCUCUCUGGAGAGUGUAUACAUCAUUCCCAUUCAGAAUUCCAGUUGUCCCAAUUAAAGAGCACAAACUGGACUUUUGAAGUUUUCCAGGGUUUAUCAUCCAUGCCAUGCCUUCCUACACUUAACUGACAUAACUAAUAAAAAACCAAGUGCCAAAAUGUGGGAAAUCCAUGGCUGGAUUGCUCCAUGCAUCUCUGCUAACCUGUGUAUCACUUUUCUUUGUGCAGUUGUUCAAGAGUCUAAUGGAGAGUCCUGCCCUUUUGAAUGGGAAUAAUGCCAGCUGCAUUAACUGGGACAAGAUUAUUGACUGUCUGAGGCAAAGCUUAGAAGAUAAUUGUUGUGUUUAACUGUUAAUUCUUUAGCAUUAUCCCAGUAACUUGUUGAUGCAUCCAAGAGUUGCUUGAUGUCUAUAUAUACACACACCCACACAUGUGCACUUGCCUGCCUUUGGGAAUACCCUCACCCUUGUUAAUAUGAGUACAAAGCUUCACUGGGCUGUCUUAUUUGUAAACAGAAAAUGUUUGGACUUAUGUCCUGAUAAAAGGAGAUACUACAAACACAGUGUGGAGCUGUCUUUGUGUCUGUAUUCAUCUCAGAAACUCAGCAGCUCACCCUUGCAUGCAGACUGCCAUGGCUCAAGAUGCUGAAGAUGCAGAAACAGCAAAGGGAAAAAGUAACGCUGCACAUUGCUAACCCCCUGCUGCAGGGAUGGCUCACCCAUUUGGAGAGCUGUGCACAGCCCAUGACAUCCCUCACUCGGUAGGAUCUCUGUGAUCUGAGAAUUGGUACCUGCCACCCGAUGUGUCUCCUGCUGCUAGACAGGUCUAUGAAGUAAUGGAGCCUGGCUGUCUGCAGUCAGCACUGCUGUACUACAUCCAAAGCAAGCUUGCCAGUCAGCAAAUGCUGCAUUAAUCUUUCAGGGAGUGUUUGUUUUGCUUGUUUUGCUAGGCUGAGUUUCAAGCAACUGAUAAUGUGCUCAUGAGCAGUUCUCCUGUUGCAGCCCAUUUUUCAAAAAGAAGUGUGAAGGCCGAAGCUCCCAAGGUUGGGUGGAACAUGGGUUGGAAGGGUUAUAAAUGGUCUUGCUUCACUGUGUGAGCUCACAGCACUUUUGAGUGCAUGUUAAUACAUCUGCAGGUACAUUUGGGCCAGUGGAGCUGUGGCUCUUUGAAGUCUGAUGAGUGUUACAAGAAUAGACUUUGGACUUGGUUCUUCUCUGUUAAUGCUAACUCUGCUUGUGGAGUUAUCUCACUGCAAAUGAGAUGCACUUUUGUGUGCUGAGCAGUAGUCAAACCUUCUGACUGAUGAAGGAGAAACUCUGAAGGCUUCUGAGGGUUAGAUAAGACAAACAUUUUACAGGUCACAGGGUUUUAAGUGUUGAAAUGCCUGGAAUUUCAAGAGGUAAAUGACAGUGUGCCUGGCUUGUCCCCACUUGUCCCUGCAGUGCUGCUGCUCUGUCCAGCUGCAGCACUGAACUUACAGCUCUCACUUCAAGGCCCAUCCUUCCAAGUCUUUUUGCAUUUAGCUCCUCUAAGCAAAAAAGGAUUUAGACAUAUAAAUAACUUUUAGGAUGUGGAAAAUUCACAUGUUGUAUGUAUUUUGAUUCUUGUAUGUGCAGAACCUUUAAAUACAAGGCACUUUUCUGGAUUUCUCUUGGUGGUUUUUUAUUUUAAGACAUUCUGUGCUCUUUGAUGACUUGCAAAAUAAAAUCUCGCAACAUUUCCACAAGUGAAGAGAAUUUUAGCUCCCAGAGUGAGAACAGAAGGAUGCACUGUGAUCUUGAGGUCUUUUAGCCUGCUUACAUAGUCUGAAAGAAUGUGGCUGGGCAGUGAGUCUGUUACAAAAUGACAAUAACUUUUUAUG